CUACGGGCGGCAGCAGUCAAGAAUAUUCCACAAUGCGCGAAAGCGUGAUGGAGCGACGCCGCGUGCAGGAUUAAGGCCCUCGGGUCGUAAACUGCUUUUAUAGGGGACGAAUUCGUGACGGUACCCUAUGAAUAAGAGGUUGCUAACUCUGUGCCAGCAGCAGCGGUAAUACAGAGACCUCAAACGUUAUCCGGAUUUAUUGGGCGUAAAGCGUCCGCAGGUGGUUUAGCAAGUUAAUGGUCAAAUCUCAAGGCUCAACCUUGGGACUGCUACUAAUACUGCUAAACUAGAGGCCGGGAGAGGCAAGCGGAACUACCGGUGUAGUCGUAAUAAGCGUUGAUAUCGGUAGGAACACCAAAGGCGAAGGCAGCUUGCUAGAACGUGCCUGACACUCAGGGACUAAAGCGUGGGUAGCGAAUGGGAUUAGAUACCCCAGUAGUC
rnacentral:rRNA from 1 species